AGGCUUGCGGGAAAGCUGGAGCCUAUCCCAACUAACUCCGGGCGAAAGUCGGACUACGCCCUGAACUGGUCGCCAGUCAGUCGCAGGGCAUCGAUCCCACGCUUCCCGCACCAAAGCCAGAAAAACAUGGCGGCAGACGACAACGUAUCCCUUUUGUGGCCUUCGAUAAAAUCCACCCUGCUCCAGAAUCUCUUCCUGAGCGUGACCUUUGACAGCUGACAUUGAUCAUGCGUUCCACGUACUUGCAAGAAGACCAACACUUUGGAAGCCA